rnacentral:misc_RNA from 1 species
GAUGAAGAACGCAGCGAAAUGCGAUAAGUAAUGCGAAUUGCAGAAUUUCCGUGAGUCAUCGAAUCUUUGAACGCACAUUGCGCCCACUGGUAUUCCGGUGGGCAUGCCUGUUCGAGCGUCAUUAUCCUCCCUCAAACCCCGGGUUUGGUGUUGGACCCAAGUUGUGUGAACAACUGGUCUCAAAGACAAUGACGGCGUCCGUGGGACCCUUGGUGCAACGAGCUUUUAGGAGCACGCAUCGAGUUGCAAGGACCUUCCGGGCCGGUCUCCUUUACCAUUUUACAAGGUUGACCUCGGAUCAGGUAGGAAUACCCGCUGAACUUAAGCAUAUCAAUAAGCGGAGGA